rnacentral:rRNA from 1 species
CCCUAUGAUGUUCUGGGCCGCACGCGCGCUACACUGAUGCAUUCAACGAGUUUCUUCCUGGUCCGAGAGGAAUGGGUAACCUUUUGAAAGUGCAUCGUGAUAGGGAUAGACUAUUGCAAUUAUUGGUCUUCAACGAGGAAUUCCUAGUAGACGUAGUUCAUCAGACUGCAUCGAUUACGUCCCUGCCCUUUGUACACACCGCCCGUCGCUCCUACCGAUUGAAUGCUCAGGUGAGCCAUUCGGACUUUCAUCAUGCUGGUUUCCAGUUUUGAUGAAGGAAAGUCUUGCGAACCUUAUCAUUUAGAGGAAGGAGAAGUCGUAACA